AUUCAGAAGGUGAGCAAUUGGCAUAUUCUUCCAUUGGAGAAUUGUUUUUUUCUUGUCAGGAUUCUAUUUCUGUUUUGUUUUAACAUAUUUCCAUGGUUAAUAAUAUCUGAUAUGUUUUACCAUGUUGCAUUUGGAACUGCCUGCAUUCUGUCAUUGCUGACAGUAAAGAACCAGAGUAAGACAGGGUAGACCAACUUCUGGAUGAAAGUAGGGUUCUAAGUUUAAACACUAAUGGGAGAAAGAUGAAAUAAUCCUAGUUGGCAUUUCCUUCUCUCAGUUUGAAGAAUCCUUACCCAGUUGCUAAUAUGGUAGCCUCAGUCACCACAAGGAUAUGUUGGUAAGACAUUUUUGAG
rnacentral:lncRNA from 1 species